rnacentral:rRNA from 1 species
CCGUCAAUUCAUUUGAGUUUUAACCUUGCGGCCGUAGUCCCCAGGCGGUAGACUUAUCGCGUUAGCUUGGACACCGAAAGCGAUUAAGCUUCCGACGCCUAGUCUACAUCGUUUAGGGCUAGGACUACCGGGGUCUCUAAUCCCGUUUGCUACCCUAGCUUUCGCGUCUGAGUGUCAGGAAUGGUCCAGGAGGCCGCCUUCGCCACCGGUGUUCCUCCAGAUAUCUGCGCAUUCCACCGCUACACCUGGAAUUCCACCUCCCUCUACCAUCCUCUAGUUCUGUAGUUUAGAACGGCCUCUCCCAGUUGAGCCAGGAGCUUUCACGCCCUACUUACAGUACCACCUACACGCGCUUUACGCCCAGUAAAUCCGGAUAACGUUUGCCUCCUACGUGUUACCGCGGCUGCUGGCACGUAGUUAGCCGAGACUUAUUCUGGAAGUACAUUCCUUCCUAUUCCUUCCAAAAAGUGCUUUACGACCCGAAGGCCUUCUUCGCACACGCGGUGUUGCUAGAUCAGACUUUCGUCCAUUUCUAAUAUUCCCUACUGCUGCCUCCCGUAGGAGU